rnacentral:rRNA from 1 species
AACGGCCGCGGUAUCCUGACCGUGCAAAGGUAGCAUAAUCACUUGUUCUCUAAAUAAGGACUAGUAUGAAUGGCCAAACGAGGGUUUUACUGUCUCUUACUUCCAAUCAGUGAAAUUGACCUUCCCGUGAAGAGGCGGGAAUAUAAUAAUAAGACGAGAAGACCCUAUGGAGCUUUAACUACUUAACCCAAAGAAACAAACUUAACCACUAAGGUGACAACAAUAUUCUCUAUGGGUUAACAGCUUUGGUUGGGGUGACCUCGGAGAACAAAAAAUCCUCCGAGCGAUUUUAAAGACUAGACCUACAAGUCGCAUCGCACAAUCGUUUAUUGAUCCAAAAAUUGAUCAACGGAACAAGUUACCCUAGGGAUAACAGCGCAAUCCUAUUUAAGAGUCCAUAUCGACAAUAGGGUUUACGACCUCGAUGUUGGAUCAGGACAUCCUGGUGGUGCAGCCGCUAUCAAAGGU